AACGAACGCUGGCGGCAUGCCUAACACAUGCAAGUCGAACGAGACCUUCGGGUCUAGUGGCGCACGGGUGCGUAACGCGUGGGAACCUGCCUUUAGGUUCGGAAUAACUCAGAGAAAUUUGAGCUAAUACCGGAUAAUGUCUUCGGACCAAAGAUUUAUCGCCUUUAGAUGGGCCCGCGUUGGAUUAGCUAGUUGGUGGGGUAAAGGCCUACCAAGGCGACGAUCCUUAGCUGGUCUGAGAGGAUGAUCAGCCACACUGGGACUGAGACACGGCCCAGACUCCUACGGGAGGCAGCAGUGGGGAAUAUUGGACAAUGGGCGAAAGCCUGAUCCAGCAAUGUCGCGUGCAGGAUG
rnacentral:rRNA from 1 species